rnacentral:lncRNA from 1 species
ACGGGACCAAGGCGGCCUCGUCUUGAAAAUCUUUGAUUUGAUCCAUGGAACAGCAGCAGUAUAGAAGAAGAAGAUGAUCCAGCAUAUGCGUAUGAUGCAUCAGAUGGCAACCAACACCGCAGAUGAUGAGGAAUUUUGUGUACAGUCGUUGAGAGGAUUCUUUUUUUUCUUUUGCUGAUGAACUGAUGCGAGAGUGAUUGUUCAGAGUGUUGUUUGUAGGAUCGCGUGAGAUAUGAGAUGUCGUUAAAUUACAGUGUACAAUCUUCAGGUUGUCAUCGUCGUCGUCG